CCUGGCUCAGGAUGAACGCUAGCGACAGGCUUAACACAUGCAAGUCGAGGGGCAGCACAGGUAGCAAUACCGGGUGGCGACCGGCGCACGGGUGAGUAACGCGUAUGCAACUUACCUAUCAGAGGGGGAUAACCCGGCGAAAGUCGGACUAAUACCGCAUGAAGCAGGGGCCCCGCAUGGGGAUAUUUGCUAAAGAUUCAUCGCUGAUAGAUAGGCAUGCGUUCCAUUAGGCAGUUGGCGGGGUAACGGCCCACCAAACCGACGAUGGAUAGGGGUUCUGAGAGGAAGGUCCCCCACAUUGGUACUGAGACACGGACCAAACUCCUACGGGAGGCAGCAGUGAGGAAUAUUGGUCAAUGGGCGUAAGCCUGAACCAGCCAAGUCGCGUGAGGGAUGAAGGUUCUAUGGAUCGUAAACCUCUUUUAUAAGGGAAUAAAGUGCGGGACGUGUCCCGUUUUGUAUGUACCUUAUGAAUAAGGAUCGGCUAACUCCGUGCCAGCAGCCGCGGUAAUACGGAGGAUCCGAGCGUUAUCCGGAUUUAUUGGGUUUAAAGGGUGCGUAGGCGGCCUUUUAAGUCAGCGGUGAAAGUCUGUGGCUCAACCAUAGAAUUGCCGUUGAAACUGGGAGGCUUGAGUAUGUUUGAGGCAGGCGGAAUGCGUGGUGUAGCGGUGAAAUGCUUAGAUAUCACGCAGAACCCCGAUUGCGAAGGCAGCCUGCCAAGCCAUGACUGACGCUGAUGCACGAAAGCGUGGGGAUCAAACAGGAUUAGAUACCCUGGUAGUCCACGCAGUAAACGAUGAUCACUAGCUGUUUGCGAUACAGUGUAAGCGGCACAGCGAAAGCGUUAAGUGAUCCACCUGGGGAGUACGCCGGCAACGGUGAAACUCAAAGGAAUUGACGGGGGCCCGCACAAGCGGAGGAACAUGUGGUUUAAUUCGAUGAUACGCGAGGAACCUUACCCGGGUUUGAACGCAUUCGGACCGAGGUGGAAACACCUUUUCUAGCAAUAGCCGUUUGCGAGGUGCUGCAUGGUUGUCGUCAGCUCGUGCCGUGAGGUGUCGGCUUAAGUGCCAUAACGAGCGCAACCCUUGCCACUAGUUACUAACAGGUAAAGCUGAGGACUCUGGUGGGACUGCCAGCGUAAGCUGCGAGGAAGGCGGGGAUGACGUCAAAUCAGCACGGCCCUUACAUCCGGGGCGACACACGUGUUACAAUGGCGUGGACAAAGGGAAGCCACCUGGCGACAGGGAGCGAAUCCCCAAACCACGUCUCAGUUCGGAUCGGAGUCUGCAACCCGACUCCGUGAAGCUGGAUUCGCUAGUAAUCGCGCAUCAGCCAUGGCGCGGUGAAUACGUUCCCGGGCCUUGUACACACCGCCC
rnacentral:rRNA from 1 species